rnacentral:rRNA from 1 species
CCUACGGGAGGCUGCAGUGAGGAAUAUUGGUCAAUGGACGAGAGUCUGAACCAGCCAAGUAGCGUGAAGGAUGACUGCCUUAUGGGUGGUAAACUUCUUUUAUAUGGGAAUAAAAUGUUCGAAGUGUGGGAUUUUGUAUGUACCAUAUGAAUAAGGAUAGGCUCACUUCGUGCCAGCAGCCGCGGUAAUACGGAGGAUGCGAGCGUUAUCCGGAUUUAGUGGGUUUAAAGGGAGCGUAGGUGGAUUGUUAAGUCAGUUGUGAAAGUUUGCGGCUCAACCUUAGAAUUGCAGUUGAUACUGGCAGUCUUGAGUACAGUAGAGGUGGGCAGAAUUCGUGGUGUAGCGGUGAAAUGCUUAGAGAUCACGAAGAACUCCGAUUGCGAAGGCAGCUCACUGGACUGAGACUGACACUGAGGCUCGAAAGUGUGGGUAUCAAACAGGAUUAGAUACCCGAGUAGUC